GACGACCUUCAGGAGGCGUCCUCGCUGCAAACGAUGGAAGAUGCAAAUAAAUGAGCCCUGAUUGGACCAAUCUUCCUGACGCUCAGCAGUGUUUACCUCCAAGCAGCUGGGACCCCGAGACUGGUUGAUGGCCUGUCCAGAACUGUGACGAAAGCUGAGAAUGAGUUAAUUUCUGACAGCAUCAUCCAUCCAAAACCUCACAGGCUGAAGCUGGUCUCCACUGAUCACCAUGUUUCACAGAAACUCCACUUGGUGUAGAAACGUGGUUCCUCCCACUGCGUCCAACUUGCGCCCAAAUGAGUCGAAAGUC